rnacentral:lncRNA from 1 species
CACGAUAGACUAGUCCUUGUUCUUGUUUGGGUCUUCUAUGGAUCUCUUUUGAAUGUUCUUUGCAAGUAGACCCCUAGUAAUUAUGUUAAUUGCGCAAUUAGGAGCUGCCGAAGACACGGAGCCGAACCUGCAGCAGGAGCCGUACAAGGACCACUACGAGGAGGAAGACUACUCAGGUUCAUGCCCAUUCAAUUUAAAUACCCAUUAGGCAUUGCUAAUAGAAUGCUAGCGUUUUAUUUCCUCAUAUUAUGAUGAUGAACCAUGCAUAGUCUAUUUUUAUGCCUUGAAUCCUUGUGUGACCUACUACCAUUUUGCUUAUAUAUGCUAUGUGCAAUGCUUGCAUGUAUAUGCGAUAUUGUGAAUAGGAUUCUUGGCGUGAGUGGGGUUAAAACUGGCAGGAGAAGGUGUUUUUGGGAUAUUUGACGGGGGUGAGCUUUACACAACCCAAUCUUUGGAUUGGGGGCUUAGGGUUCAUUCUCGGACGUUUCCUGUUUGGUACUUGUUGUGAGUACAUGGUUGAGGAGCAUAUGAGUUGGUGGUGAUACCUGUUAUGGGUGCCGUUGCGAUCUAAGUGGUGGCAUCGCUUUUGUGGGAGAUUAGGAGCUCGCCCCGGUCUGAAACCGAGUGGGUUGCCAUGCUUCACGGGAAUAUGUUAAACGUGCACGCCACUCAUCAAAUUAUGGGUUUAGGCCUGGGUCGAGACUGACAAGUGUGGUACCAUACUUGCUGUAGGAUGGAGUAUCACUGUAGGGGGAGAGGUGUUGACCUAUAGCCCCCUGAUUUGUUUUUGCCCCCGAUUGGCCCCGGUGGGAGUGCUUCACAGUACCAGGG